GAAGGGCGAGUAAUACAUUUCUAACGUACCCCGAGAUUCGGAAUAGCCCUGGGAAACUGGGAGUAAUACCGGAUGAGAUCGCUGGGAGCAAUAUCCCGGCGCUGAAAGGCGCAAGUCGUCUUGGGAGCGGGAAAUGUCCUAUCAGGUAGUUGGCGGGGUAACGGCCCACCAAGCCUUAGACGGGUAGCCGGUGUGAGAGCACGGCCGGCCGCAUCGGGACUGAGACACUGCCCGGACUCCUACGGGAGGCUGCAGUAACGAAUAUUCCACAAUGCGCGCAAGCGUGAUGGAGCAAUGCCGCGUGCAGGAUGAAGCCCUUCGGGGUGUAAACUGCUGUCAGGGGUAGCCAACUCAAUGAGGCGCCCCAAAGGAAGAGACGACUAACUCUGUGCCAGCAGUCGCGGUAAUACAGAGGUCUCGAGCAUUAAUCGGAAUCACUGGGCUUAAAGCGUACGUAGGCGGACCUGCAAGUACCCUGUGAAAUCCCUCGGCUCAACCGAGGAACCGCUCGGUAUACUGCAGGCCUUGAGCAUGGUAGAGGCGGUCGGAACGAUCGGUGGAGCGGUGAAAUGCGUAGAUAUCGAUCGGAACGCCGAAGGUGUAAACAGGCCGCUGGGCCAUUGCUGACGCUCAGGUACGAAAGCGUGGGGAGCAAACGGGAUUAGAUACCCCGGUAGUCCACGCCCUAAACGAUGCAUACUAGAUCAGGGAGGUUCUGAUACCCUCCGGAUCGAAACGAAAGCGAUAAGUAUGCCGCCUGGGGAGUACGGUCGCAAGGCUAAAACUCAAGGAAUUGACGGGGCUCACACAAGCGGUG
rnacentral:rRNA from 1 species